rnacentral:rRNA from 1 species
AUGCACUUUCCCUCCCCGCCUGCCGCCAUGGAGCGUCCGCACUGCCACGUCGACCCCUCCCGCCGGGCUCGGGCAAGCCACAAGGUGCUCAUCUCCACCCCAGCCAUGGAGCAUCAGGAGUUGCUGUUCCACAAGCACGCGGCCAACCCCCUGUCCAUCGGCCGGGCCAUCGUUGAGCAGCUGCGCAUCCUCACUCGCCUGCUGUGGGUGACGAGCCAUGACACUGAGGAUUUCCUCGUCUACUUCGAGCUGCCGGUGCACCACAGAACGCCAUCCACCGUGGCUCCAUCACUGUCGACGGCGUCGCCUUCAACUUCAAGUUGUGGCAUGAAGACGACCAUAACAUGCUCCAAGACAUCACGCUCCACGUCCGCGUCGUCAUCGAGAAGGUCGCCAUGCAACUCUGGUCGCUGGAGGGGGCAAAGGAGAUCAUCGGCGACAAAUGCAUCGUCGAUCGCCUCGACACGCGCACCCACGAGCGCGGCCAAACCAAGACUUUUGCCUGUUGGGUGUGGGUCUGGGACGUCGCAACAUCCCCACCAAACGCAUCAUAUGGCGGGCGAGGCGGGGGGCGGAGCGCGUCGAUGCUAUGCUCGGGCACUCGCCGCCCAGCCGCGAGGUCGCCCCACCACCUGGGGUUAG